AACGAACGCUGGCGGCAUGCCUAACACAUGCAAGUCGAACGAGACCUUCGGGUCUAGUGGCGCACGGGUGCGUAACGCGUGGGGAUCUGCCCUUUGCUUCGGAAUAACAGUUAGAAAUGACUGCUAAUACCGGAUGAUGACUUCGGUCCAAAGAUUUAUCGGCAAAGGAUGAACCCGCGUAGGAUUAGCUAGUUGGUGGGGUAAAGGCCUACCAAGGCGACGAUCCUUAGCUGGUCUGAGAGGAUGAUCAGCCACACUGGGACUGAGACACGGCCCAGACUCCUACGGGAGGCAGCAGUGGGGAAUAUUGGACAAUGGGCGAAAGCCUGAUCCAGCAAUGCCGCGUGAGUGAUGAAGGCCUUAGGGUUGUAAAGCUCUUUUACCCGGGAUGAUAAUGACAGUACCGGAGAAUAAGCUCCGGCUAACUCCGUGCCAGCAGCCGCGGUAAU
rnacentral:rRNA from 1 species